GCCUGGGUGGCUCAAUCAGUUAGGCUUCUGACUUCAGCUCAGGUCACGAUCUUAUGGUUUGUGGGUUUGAGUCCCACAUUGGGCU
rnacentral:tRNA from 1 species